rnacentral:rRNA from 1 species
UUCUUAAUGAGAGUUUGAUCCUAGCUCAGGGUGAACGCUGGCGACGUGGAUAAGGCAUGCAAGUCAAGGGGGCCUUCGGGCAACCGGCAGACGAGGUAGUAACACGUAAGUACGCACCCCAUGGUCGGGCAUAGCCAGCCGAAAGGUUGGGUAAUUCCCGAUAGUCUCGCGAGAGUAAAGUUUUUCGCCAUGGGAGCGGCUUGCGUAGUAUCAGCUAGUUGGUAGGGUAACGGCCUACCAAGGCUACGACGCUUAGGGGAGCUGAGAGGCUGACCCCCACCGAUGGGACUGAGAGACGGCCCAUACUCCUACGGGAGGCCGCAGUCGAGAAUCUUCCGCAAUGGGCGAAAGCCUGACGGAGCGACGUCGCGUGCUGGAUGAAGUUCUUCGGGACGUAAACAGCUUUUAUGUGGGACGAAGUUUAUUGACGGUACCACAUGAAUAAGGGGCUCCUAACUCUGUGCCAGCAGGAGCGGUAAUACAGAGGCCUCAAGCGUUACCCGGAAUCACUGGGCGUAAAGGGUGUCGAGGCGGUCAUAUUAGUCUUUCGUUAAAUCCGGGAGCUCAACUUCCGGCCUGCGGGAGAAACGGUAUGACUAGAGGGUAUGAGAGGUACAGGGAACUCAUGGUGUAGGGGUGAAAUCCGUUGAUAUCAUGGGGAACACCAAAGGCGAAGGCACUGUACUGGCAUAUUCCUGACGCUCACACACGAAAGCCAGGGGAGAGAAGAGGAUUAGAUACCCUCGUAUUCCUGGCCCUAAACGCUGCUCGCUCGCUUUACGGAGUAUCGACCCUCUGUGAGGCUAAGCUAACGCGGUAAGCGAGCCGCCUGGGUAGUACGAGCGCAAGCUUAAAACUCAAAGGAAUAGACGGGGACUCGCACAAGCGGUGGAUCAUGUGGCUUAAUUCGACGAUAAACGAAGAACCUUACCAAGGCUAGAAACCCAGCUGCAUCCUUCCCGAAAAGGAAGGAGCCUUCGAGGGUGCUGGGCAGGUGAUGCAUGGUCGUCGUCAGUUCGUGGUUUGAACUGUUCCCUUCAGUGGGAUAACGAACGCAACCCCCGUUGCCUGUUAUAUAUGUCAGGCGAGACUGCUCCCUCACGGGAGAGGAAGGUGGGGAUGACGCCAGAUCAGCAUGUCCCUUGAUGCCUUGGGCUGCACACGUGAUACAAUGGUUGGUACAGAAAGAUGCAAGACCGUAAGGUGGAGCAAAUCUCAAAAACCAACCUCAGUACGGAUUGAGGUCUGCAACCGACCUCAUGAAGCCGGAAUCGCUAGUAAUCGUGGGUCAGCUAUACCACGGUGAAUACGUUCUCGAGUCUUGUACUCACCGCCCGUCAACUCAAGGGAGCUGGGGGUACCCGAAAUCCUGCCUUGCGCAGGACUACGGUAAAUUCAGUGACAGGGAGUAAGUCGUAACAAGGCACGGCUAGCGGAAGCUGGUCGUGGAUCA